GGAGAGGUGCGAGAGUGGUUGAAUCGGGCGGUCUCGAAAACCGUUGUACCCAUUUCGGGUACCCAGGGUUCGAAUCCCUGCCUCUCCG
rnacentral:tRNA from 1 species